rnacentral:rRNA from 1 species
UAGGGAAUCUUCGGCAAUGGACGGAAGUCUGACCGAGCAACGCCGCGUGAGCGAAGAAGGUUUUCGGAUCGUAAAGCUCUGUUGUUAGAGAAGAAUGUUGGUAGGAGUGGAAAAUCUACCAAGUGACGGUAACUAACCAGAAAGGGACGGCUAACUACGUGCCAGCAGCCGCGGUAAUACGUAGGUCCCGAGCGUUGUCCGGAUUUAUUGGGCGUAAAGCGAGCGCAGGCGGUUCUUUAAGUCUGAAGUUAAAGGCAGUGGCUUAACCAUAGUACGCUUUGGAAUCUGGAGGACUUGAGUGCAGCAGGGGAGAGUGGAAUUCCAUGUGUAGCCGUGAAAUGCGUAGAUAUAUAGAGGAACACCGGUGGCGAAAGCGGCUCGCUAGUCUGUAACUGACGCUGAGGCUCGAAAGCGUGGGGAGCAAACAGG